AGCGAACGCUGGCGGCAGGCUUAACACAUGCAAGUCGAACGGUCCUUCGGGAUAGUGGCGGACGGGUGAGUAACACGUGGGAACGUACCCUUAGGUUCGGAACAACACAGGGAAACUUGUGCUAAUACCGGAUAAGCCCUUCGGGGGAAAGAUUUAUCGCCUUUGGAGCGGCCCGCGUCUGAUUAGCUUGUUGGUGAGGCAAUGGCUCACCAAGGCUACGAUCAGUAGCUGGUCUGAGAGGAUGGCCAGCCACCCUGGGACUGAGACACGGCCCAGACGCCAACGGGAGGCAGCAGUGGGGAAUCUUGCGAAAUGGGCGAAAGCCUGACACAGCCAGGCCGCGUGGAUGAUGAAGGUCUUAGGAUUGUAAAAUCCUUUCGCCGGGGACGAUAAUGCCGGUCCCCGGAGAAGAGCCCCCGGCUAACUUCGUGCCAGCCGCCGCCGUAA
rnacentral:rRNA from 1 species